UGAGGAAUAUUGGUCAAUGGGCGGAAGCCUGAACCAGCCAAGUCGCGUGAGGGAAGACGGUCCUAUGGAUUGUAAACCUCUUUUGCAGGGGAGCAAGACGCGGUACGUGUACCGUGCUGGAGAGUACCCUGAGAAAAAGGCAUCGGCUAACUCCGUGCCAGCAGCCGCGGUAAUACGGAGGAUGCGAGCGUUAUCCGGAUUUAUUGGGUUUAAAGGGUGCGUAGGCGGACUGGUAAGUCAGCGGUAAAAAUUGCGGUGCUCAACGCCGUAGUGCCGUUGAAACUGCCGGUCUUGAGUGAGCGAGAAGUAUGCGGAAUGCGUGGUGUAGCGGUGAAAUGCAUAGAUAUUGCGCAGAACUCCGAUUGCGAAGGCAGCGUACUGGCGCCUGACUGACGCUGAGGCACGAAAGCGUGGGGGAUCGAACAGGAUUAGAUACC
rnacentral:rRNA from 1 species